GUUUUCACUAGCCAUGACGUUCUUCCGAAAACUUGACUUUCUCCUCGUCAUACUUCUUGCCCCGCUUUUAUGUUCAGCAGCUUUGGAGACAGUGGGACUGUCAGAGGGAGACGGCACUUGAUUAAAUCUGCCUCCCGCUGAGCUUUGAUAAUUUCAACCGUCGAUCAAGACCGGGUGGAAAAUGGAGGGACGCUGGACCUACAGCAAUGCUUUGUUUACGGUUUGUGUAUCUCCAAAGUUUGAAAGGCUGGAUUCCAGAAUGUGACUGCGCACAAGGAUUCAAAGGUGCAGAAGAUUUAAGAAGACCAAAGAAUAUGCAGCACCAGGACAGAUUAAGAACAAAUUUAGGACCCAUGCUCAAAAAUCUCAAAACAUUGUUGCAGGGCCACCAUUGUGAUGUUCAGCGACCUCAUCUGCGCCAAUCUGCCAACAAAAACCACGACAGACCUAGAUAACGCCGAAAACUGCUCGAACUCACAAUCGUGUUGAGAGAAGACGAACAAAUGCUUGCUGAGAAACAUCACAAAGCUGAAGUGAGUCAGAGACACUGUUCAAUGAAGUCAAUGGACUUUCAUGAUCUCUGGCAUACAUUUGACGCGCUCAAAGGCCCCUUGCUCGUAUGGGUUUAUCGCCCCCCUCAUCUGACGCAAAAGUGGAGAUGAUGUGUAGGAUUACAUUGAUGGCUUUCAUCAGGUCCUAACCCAACAGCAGCCUCAUGAAAGGGAAUACAAGGUGUAGCGCUGGCGUCUGGAGACACUGGAGUGUGUGGGACGGCUCUGUGAUGUGUCCUUCCCAAUCAUCCUCACCGAUAAACUUCGCUAAGGGCUCAGCCGAUGAAGGAGGCAGUUCUUUUCUUUUUAUAAUUGUCUUCAUUUCAGAGCCGCUGAAUGGGGUUGAACAUGGAGGAACGCUGUCAAAGCUUUGUUUACGGCGUUCACAAGACUUCUCUGACUCUGGCCUUCGGUGAAGUGUUUCGAGGUCUUGUUUGAAAGAGACUAACAGAAUAAAGUGGAACAGCCUCUUGAAGGGCUCGGCUCCUUUUUACAGACAGAUGGACCAGAAAGUGAGAGAGAGGACACCUGCUGGUCACACUGCAACCCCCCUUCCCGGUUCUUCUUUUCUCUUCUUUCUCUCUCUCUGCUUUCUCAUUUGCUCCUGCAUUAGAAUUCAGCUUCUCGUCUGACUGAGUGGGUUACUGAAGCGUGUCACAGUAAGAACCGGCGAAUGAUAAUGAACUGAACGUGUGCGAGAGGGAGGGGCCGAGGGUGGAGAUGGGAGAGGAUUCCGGUAAGCAGCUUCUCGCUGCGAGAGAAAGAGAGCGAGAGACGAGGCUGUCGACUGAAUCACCAACACCUCCGCCACUUCACCACCCCUUUCUCUCUCCGCUCGGCACGGGGGAGUGAGUGUGGGUCGGGACGCCCCGCUACGUUCCCUCUCCCCCUCCGCCGUCCUCCACCGGCAGACCCACUUCUCCAAAUGAAUCCAUUCAUCAUAUUCUCUUUUUGUCAUUUUCAUGUCAGCCUCCCUCUGCUGUAUUACGGUUAUCAUUAUUUUAUGUUCUCUGCUUCUCUCUCCCCUGUUCUUUUUUCAAGCGCUCCCACACGCCGCUAUCCCACUCGUUUUGUCACGGCCGAGGAAAAGAAAAUGAUCGGCCGGAGAGCCCGUAGAGGCAAAGACGAACGUCAGAGCGAGGAGAGCUGUGUCCGGACGGGUAGCCAAAAGAUAGAAGCGGCACUGGCAGAAGCCUCUUCUUCUGAUGGAUUAUCCCGAGUGGAGAACUCCGAACGGGGACAAAACGACAAGAAGAGAAGACAUGAGCAGCGCUGAAAACACGUUUGGAGAGGGACUUUGUGAAGAACUGAUCUUUUUCUUUUCUAAAAUAUAAAAUGCAGAUAUUUCUCUGUUCAACUUGCUCUCAUGUGUUUUAGUUUCUUCGGUCCGAAUGCUCCCCCCGUCUUGUUCGGGACGUUUUGCGACUCAUUGUGAAGAAUUCUCUGGACUGUGUGCUGAAAAGCACUUUUCAAUCGAACAAAUUCCUUUCUAAACACCUAAAAGAGCCCUCUUUUCUUCAUCUUCUCUCUUCUAUUGAGACCAAAAUAAUUGGAGCUGCAGACUCCACUGUAAUCUUGCCGUAGGAGCAAGUUGGGCCAAUCCGGACGCAACACCUGGAGCCAUUUUCUUCUCAAAUCACUUCAUUAUAUUGUGGGGGGGCACCAACCACCCAAGCCUUGGGUCUUAGUGAUCCGGAUGUGCUGGAGAGAAAGUUAAAAAGAAAUGGAGAAAGAGAGACCUCCAAGAAGAUGAAAGCAGAGGUGAUAUUUUCAGAACAGAAAUGGGUGAAGAGAAAGUCGGCCAUAUCUGAGAAGACGUCACAACAGAUUGGUUCAUGAAACAAUACGCUGAAAAGUUGCAGUGUAGACGCACAACACAGUUAGAAUAGAUGAAUUAUCUCUUCUGUUAGUGCCAAGUUUAAAGAUAAAGCGUUGCGUUUUGCACUCACAGAAGAAACUUGGCCAAGUCUGGGAUCCUUUUUUUCUCACUGUAUUGUACUUUUUCCCAGCCUUUCUCCCCCCAUGUUAAGUCAUUCACUGGGGCACUUUGCACCCCCCCCCCCCCUCGCUGCAAGCUGAAAGCUGUUGAUCGCUAAUCCACGGCUAUUUCAUCAGAUCCUCUCACUGAUUUCUACAUUGAUUGGCUGUCUACUUCAGAACCUCUCCGGCUCCCUCCUCUCGCUUUUUCACUUUCCUUCAUCCACUUCUCGCUCUCUCUCCCCCUCCCUCCCUCUCCCUCUCUCUCCCUCCCUCCCUCUCUCACUCGCCCUGCCUCAUUGUCUCUGUGUGCGGCAACGGUGCCUCUGGAAGCCAGUCUGUUCCACCGCUCGCCCGAUAGAGGA